rnacentral:rRNA from 1 species
GACGAACGCUGGCGGCGUGCUUAACACAUGCAAGUCGAACGGAAAGGCCCUGCUUUUGUGGGGUGCUCGAGUGGCGAACGGGUGAGUAACACGUGAGUAACCUGCCCUUGACUUUGGGAUAACUUCAGGAAACUGGGGCUAAUACCGGAUAGGAGCUCCUGCUGCACGGUGGGGGUUGGAAAGUUUCGGCGGUUGGGGAUGGACUCGCGGCUUAUCAGCUUGUUGGUGAGGUAGUGGCUUACCAAGGCUUUGACGGGUAGCCGGCCUGAGAGGGUGACCGGCGACAUUGGGACUGAGAUACGGACCAGAAUCCUACGGGAGGCAGCAGUGGGGAAUAUUGCACAAUGGGCGGAAGCCUGAUGCAGCAACGCCGCGUGCGGGAUGACGGCCUUCGGGUUGUAAACCGCUUUCGCCGGUGACGAAGCGUGAGUGACGGUAAUGGGUAAAGAAGCACCGGCUAACUACGUG